AGGUUAACCGCAUAGGGGAGCCGUAGAGAAAUCGAGUCUUAAUAGGGCGUUUAGUUGCUGGGUGUAGACCCGAAACCGGGUGAUCUAUCCAUGAGCAGGUUGAAGGUUGGGUAACACUAACUGGAGGACCGAACCCACUGUCGUUGAAAAGCCAGGGGAUGACUUGUGGAUAGGGGUGAAAGGCUAAUCAAACUCGGUGAUAGCUGGUUCUCCCCGAAAGCUAUUUAGGUAGCGCCUCGGACGAAUACCAUUGGGGGUAGAGCACUGUUUCGGCUAGGGGGUCAUCCCGACUUACCAAACCGAUGCAAACUCCGAAUACCAAUGAGUACUAUCCGGGAGACAGACUGCGGGUGCUAACGUCCGUAGUCAAGAGGAAAACAAUCCAGACCGCCAGCUAAGGCCCCAAAAUUAUAGUUAAGUGGGAAACGAUGUGGGAAGGCAUAGACAGCUAGGAGGUUGGCUUAGAAGCAGCCACCCUUUAAAGAAAGCGUAAUAGCUCACUAGUCGAGUCGGCCUGCGCGGAAGAUGUAACGGGGCUAAAACUAUAUGCCGAAGCUGCGGAUUUGCAAUUUAUUGCAAGUGGUAGGGGAGCGUUCUGUAAGCCGAUGAAGGUGUAUUGAGAAGUAUGCUGGAGGUAUCAGAAGUGCGAAUGCUGACGUGAGUAACGACAAUGCGAGUGAAAAACUCGCACGCUGAAAGACCAAGGGUUCCAGUCCAACGUUAAUCGGGGCUGGGUGAGUCGACCCCUAAGGCGAGGCCGAGAGGCGUAGUCGAUGGGAAAUUGGUUAAUAUUCCAAUACUUCUAUGUAAUGCGAUGAGAGGACGGAGAAGGUUAAGUCAGCCUGGCGUUGGUUGUCCAGGUGGAAGGUUGUAGGCAUGUAUCUUAGGCAAAUCCGGGGUACUCUAUGCUGAGAACUGAUAGCAAGCUGUACUUGUACAGUGAAGUGGCUGAUACCAUGCUUCCAGGAAAAGUCUCUAAGCUUCAGUUACAUAGGAAUCGUACCCGAAACCGACACAGGUGGUCAGGUCGAGUAGACCAAAGCGCUUGAGAGAACUCUGCUGAAGGAACUAGGCAAAAUGGUACCGUAACUUCGGGAGAAGGUACGCUGCCGACGGUGAUAGGAUUUACUCCUUGAGCUAUUGGCAGCCACAGAAACCAGGCCCCUGCAACUGUUUAUUAAAAACAUAGCACUCUGCAAACACGAAAGUGGACGUAUAGGGUGUGAUGCCUGCCCGGUGCUGGAAGGUUAAUUGAUGGGGUUAGCGUAAGCGAAGCUCUUGAUCGAAGCCCCAGUAAACGGCGGCCGUAACUAUAACGGUCCUAAGGUAGCGAAAUUCCUUGUCGGGUAAGUUCCGACCUGCACGAAUGGCAUAAUGAUGGGGGCGCUGUCUCCAGCAGAGACUCAGUGAAAUCGAAUUCGCCGUGAAGAUGCGGUGUACCCGCGGCUAGACGGAAAGACCCCGUGAACCUUUACUGCAGCUUGACAUUGAACUUUGAUCUUACUUGUGUAGGAUAGGUGGGAGGCUUUGAAACCGAGACGCUAGUUUCGGUGGAGCCAAUCUUGAAAUACCACCCUGGUAAUAUUGAGGUUCUAACUCUGUCCCGUUAUCCGGGACGAGGACCAUGUCUGGUGGGUAGUUUGACUGGGGCGGUCUCCUCCUAAAGAGUAACGGAGGAGUACGAAGGUGCGCUCAGCGUGGUCGGAAAUCACGCGUAGAGUAUAAAGGCAAAAGCGCGCUUAACUGCGAGACCCACAAGUCGAGCAGGUACGAAAGUAGGUCUUAGUGAUCCGGUGGUUCUGUAUGGAAGGGCCAUCGCUCAACGGAUAAAAGGUACUCUGGGGAUAACAGGCUGAUACCGCCCAAGAGUUCAUAUCGACGGCGGUGUUUGGCACCUCGAUGUCGGCUCAUCUCAUCCUGGGGCUGAAGCAGGUCCCAAGGGUAUGGCUGUUCGCCAUUUAAAGAGGUACGCGAGCUGGGUUUAGAACGUCGUGAGACAGUUCGGUCCCUAUCUACCGUGGGCGUUGGAAAUUUGAGAGGAUCUGCUCCUAGUACGAGAGGACCAGAGUGGACGAACCUCUGGUGUACCGGUUGUGACGCCAGUCGCAUCGCCGGGUAGCUAUGUUCGGAAGGGAUAACCGCUGAAAGCAUCUAAGCGGGAAGCCUACCUCAAGAUAAGAUUUCCCUAGGACUUUAUGUCCUCUAAAGAGCCGUUGAAGACUACGACGUUGAUAGGUUGGAUGUGGAAGCAUAGUGAUAUGUGAAGCUGACCAAUACUAAUUGCUCGUGAGGCUUGACUAU
rnacentral:rRNA from 1 species